GAUGAACGCUGACAGAAUGCUUAACACAUGCAAGUCAACUUGAACUUCGGUUUGGGUGGCGGACGGGUGAGUAACGCGUAAAGAACUUGCCUCACAGCUAGGGACAACAUUUGGAAACGAAUGCUAAUACCUGAUAUUAUGAUUAUAUGGCAUCGUAUAAUUAUGAAAGCUAUAUGCGCUGUGAGAGAGCUUUGCGUCCCAUUAGCUAGUUGGAGAGGUAACAGCUCACCAAGGCGAUGAUGGGUAGCCGGCCCGAGAGGGUGAUCGGCCACAAGGGGACUGAGACACGGCCCUUACUCCUACGGGAGGCAGCAGUGGGGAAUAUUGGACAAUGGACCGAGAGUCUGAUCCAGCAAUUCUGUGUGCACGAUGAAGUUUUUCGGAAUGUAAAGUGCUUUCAGUUGGGAAGAAAAAAAUGACGGUACCAACAGAAGAAGUGACGGCUAAAUACGUG
rnacentral:rRNA from 1 species